CCAACGGCCCUCUUUAGGGCCACCUAUACUACAUUUUUGAAUUUGU
rfam:Strongyloides venezuelensis genome assembly, scaffold: SVE_scaffold0000011